CACCCCUGGGCCGCCUCUCCGUGUCAGUGACCUGCGGUCUCAGGGCGUACCCAGCCUCCUCCCAUCACCCGGUGGCCGGCAGGGCCCCAGACAGGGGGGGAAGCCUGUCUCCCACCCCACAUGGCCCCUCUGCCAGGGUGCCUUUGGAGGGAGGGCAGUCAGCAAUGGGUGGCACCUUGACACCACCCCCGCGCCUCAGAGAGCACGUGUUGUGCAGCAGCAGCAGCAGCACGACUGUGUGUGUGAGCUUCCAUCGCUCUGCACCCCAAAGACCAGGAAACUGAGCCCCUGAGGGGCUUGCCCGAGGGUUAACAGAAGCAGAAGUCGACUGUAAAGACUCUCCGAGGUGUGAACUAUGCUCUGAGUCACUCUCAGGAACGCUCCUGUCAAGAAGAAAGCCCUUCAAACACCACUUGCUGCCCUGCUGUGACACCCUUGGAGGCCUGAAAACCGCCGGGUAAAUCAGGCUGCCACGUACCCCAUAGGCAAGUCUGUGGCUGGGUCAGGGGGCAGGAGGAGUGGGGAGAGGAAGCCAUCCUACAUGGAGGUGGGGGUUUAGGAAUGUCUGGAGACCCACAACCUUACUGUCUCAUCUCUGACCCUCAACUCCCCACCUCAGACUCCAGAUCAGCUCCUGGUCUCCUCAGCAUGGGAAAGGCAAACUCCUCAGUUUGGCAUUCGAGGCCAUCCAGGAGAGGACUCCAGCUGGUCCCUACACACACCUUGCACCAAAGCCAAGCCAGUGUCGAAAUGCCCGCCUCUCACGCUGUCGCCAGCCACGCCACAAGGAGCACCCUCACUCCCCAUCACCGUGCAGUUCAUAAUCCCAUGAAGAGCCCCCAUUACCCCUGACUGUCUGCCGUGUGCCAGGCACUGGCCUCGCCGAGGAGGAAACCACCCAUCUCCUGUGAUCGCAAUGCCAACUGCCUUGGGAAU